AUAUUUUUUAAAGAAUACUAAAACUUUGAAAUUAAAAAGAAAAAGUUAAAUAUUAAAUCAUAUUUAAUAUUAAAAUAUUAAAAUAAAAUCACAUUAAAAAUAUUAGCAAAAUAUAUAUUUACAUUACAUUUGCAUUUAUUCAUUUAGCAAAUGCUUUUAUCCAAAGCAACUUACAAAAUCAAUUUGAAUAUAAUUUAUACUAUAUAUACUAUUACUAUACUAUAUAUAAUUUUUUUGGCAACUUCUGUUCUGCAGGAAAAUACAUUAUGUGCAUAUUUUAAGUGACAGAUAUUUAACGGCAACAUUUUUCUCUUUUUACAGAUGACCUCCUUCCUCACUCUUCUGCUCAAUAUGCAUGGAUUGUCGCCGUGGUCCUUGUCCUUUUAGCCAUUGUCUUCAUCUCUGUAUUUCUGCAUAGGAGAAAAAAUGGUAAGAAAAACAGACGAAAUGAAUCUAAAUGUGCUUUCCUGUUUCCACACUCAUCCUCUGCCACCGCUGACUCUUUACUGACUGUAUACGAGAACAGGCCACAAAAUUGUGACAUAAACUCAGAAGAAACUGCAGAAAAACUUCUAUCUUUGAGGAGCGCGCUUAUGCGACAAUAUUCAGAGCUCGACACAAACGCUGAGAUGAAAAGCAGACUUGCUUCAUAUGCACUCCUCAGCAAUGAAAGGCCAAUCUCUAAACAUCAGCUCAAUCCUGCCUGAUAAGAAAGAAAUUAUCCUUCUGCUUGGAAAACCAGGCAGCGGGAAAACCAGCGUAGCCCAAAUCC
rnacentral:lncRNA from 1 species